rnacentral:rRNA from 1 species
AGUGGAUGGGGAGCAACCUAGUUGUGCGUGUGUAAAGGUAGUGCCAAGAAAAGCGGUGAUCAUGAUGAAAAUCAAUUCCCGGUACCCGAAACCGACACAGGUGGGCAAGUAGAGAAUACUAAGGGGCGCGAGGUAACUCUCUCCAAGGAACUCGGCAAAAUGACCCCGUAACUUAGGGAGAAGGGGUGCCACCGAGAGGUGGUCGCAGUGAAGAGGCCCAGGCGACUGUUUAGCAAAAACAUAGGUCUCUGCAAACUCGAAAGAGGAGGUAUAGGGGCUGACGCCUGCCCAGUGCCGGAAGGUUAAAGAAGUUGGUCAGUCUUAGGAUGAAGCUAGCGACUGAAGCCCCGGUGAACGGCGGCCGUAACUAUAACGGUCCUAAGGUAGCGAAAUUCCUUGUCGGGUAAGUUCCGACCCGCACGAAAGGCGUAACGAUCUGGGCGCUGUCUCGGAGAGAGGCUCGGUGAAAUAGGAUUGUCUGUGAAGAUACGGACUACCUGCAUUUGGACAGAAAGACCCUAUGAAGCUUUACUAUAGCUUGGAAUUGUGUUCGGGCUUCCUGUGCGCAGGAUAGGUGGGAGGCGUAGAAGGUAUUCUUGUGGGGAUACUGGAGCCAACGGUGAGAUACCACUCUCAGGAGGCUAGAAUUCUAACUUAAUUAAGGACAGUUUCAGGUGGUAGUUUGACUGGGGCGGUCGCCUCCAAAAAGGUAACGGAGGCGUACAAAGGUUCCCUCAGACUGGUUGGAAAUCAGUCGAAGAGUGCAAAGGCAGAAGGGAGCUUGACUGCGAGAAGUACAGUUCGAGCAGGGUGGAAACACGGUCUUAGUGAUCCGACGGUACUGUGUGGAAGGGCCGUCGCUCAACGGAUAAAAGUUACUCUAAGGAUAACAGGCUGAUCUCCCCCAAGAGUUCACAUCGACGGGGAGGUUUGGCACCUCGAUGUCGGCUCAUCGCAACCUGGGGCGGAAGUACGUCCCAAGGGUUGGGCUGUUCGCCCAUUAAAGCGGUACGUGAGCUGGGUUCAGAACGUCGUGAGACAGUUCGGUCCAUAUCCGAUGUAGGCGUGAGAAUAUUGAGAGGAGCCUUCCUUAGUACGAGAGGACCGGGAAGGACGCACCGCUGGUGUACCUGUUAUGAUGCCAAUUGUAAACGCAGGGUAGCCAAGUGCGGAGAGGAUAACCGCUGAAAGCAUCUAAGUGGGAAGCCCACCUCAAGAUGAGUAUUCUGGUGUAAGGUCACGGGAAGACGACCCGUAAAUAGGCACGAGGUGGAAGUGCAGAGAUGUAUGAAGCCGAAGUGUACUAAUAGACCGUCGGCUUGACC